rnacentral:misc_RNA from 1 species
AAAAUUUCGAGAAAAUGUGGAAACUUUAGCGUUGAUUGUUGUAUGAAGAUUCAUUUCUGUUCUGUUACGGACUGUGCGCUUUUCGAAGUAAUUAUUGUUUGAUUGAUUCGUAAGUCUUUUUAAACGUAUAUGGUUGCCUAGAUACUACUACUAUCAUAAUUUGAUAUUCAAAUUUCUUUUAUUCAUUUCUUGGCAUUAUAUUUUGGAUUUGACACA